CCUACGGGUGGCAGCAGUAGGGAAUAUUGCUCAAUGGGGGAAACCCUGACGCAGCAACGCCGCGUGGAGGAUGAAGGUUUUCGGAUUGUAAACUCCUUUUGUUAGAGAAGAUAAUGACGGUAUCCAACGAAUAAGCACCGGCUAACUCCGUGCCAGCAGCCGCGGUAAUACGGAGGGUGCAAGCGUUAUACGGAAUCACUGGGCGUAAAGAGCGCGUAGGCGGGAUGACAAGUCAGAUGUGAAAUCCUAUGGCUUAACCAUAGAACUGCAUUUGAAACUGUUGUUCUUGAGUAUGGGAGAGGUAGAUGGAAUUCUUGGUGUAGGGGUAAAAUCCGUAGAGAUCAAGAGGAACACCAAUGGCGAAGGCGACCUGCUAGAACAUAACUGACGCUGAUGCGCGAAAGCGUGGGGAGCAAACAGGAUUAGAUACCCGUGUAGUC
rnacentral:rRNA from 1 species